rnacentral:rRNA from 1 species
UGACUAAGCCAUGCAAGUCGAGAGGGUUCGGCCCUCGGCGUACUGCUCAGUAACACGUGGAUAACCUGCCCUAAGGAAGGGGAUACCCCCGGGAAACUGGGUAUAAUACCCUAUAGAUUACAGAUGCUGGAAUGCCCUGUAAUCGAAAGUUCCGACGCCUUAGGAUGGAUCUGCGGCCGAUUAGGUUGUUGUCGGGGUAAUGGCCCAACAAGCCAGUGAUCGGUACGGGUUGUGGGAGCAAGAGCCCGGAGUUGGAUUCUGAGACACGAAUCCAGGCCCUACGGGGCGCAGCAGGCGCGAAAACUUUACAAUGCGGGCAACCGUGAUAAGGGAACCUCGAGUGCCUGUAUAUGCAGGCUGUCCAGGUGUCUAAAACACACCUGAAGAAAGGGCCGGGCAAGACCGGUGCCAGCCGCCGCGGUAAUACCGGCGGCUCGAGUGGUGGCCGCUUUUAUUGGGCUUAAAGCGUUCGUAGCUGGGUCGUUAAGUCUCUUGGGAAAUCCGGCAGCUCAACUGUCGGGCGUCUAAGAGAUACUGGCGAUCUUGGAACCGGGAGAGGUGAGGGGUACUUCGGGGGUAGGAGUGAAAUCCUGUAAUCCUCGAGGGACCACCUGUGGCGAAGGCGCCUCACCAGAACGGCUUCGACAGUGAGGGACGAAAGCUGGGGGAGCAAACCGGAUUAGAUACCCGGGUAGUCCCAGCCGUAAACGAUGUGCGUUAGGUGUAUCAACGACCACGAGUCGUUGAGGUGCCGAAGGGAAACCGUGAAACGUACCGCCUGGGAAGUACGGUCGCAAGGCUGAAACUUAAAGGAAUUGGCGGGGGAGCA